GGAGGAAGGUGGGGACGACGUCAAGUCAUCAUGGCCCUUACGAGUAGGGCUACACACGUGCUACAAUGGGCAUUACAGAGGGUUGCGAAGCCGCGAGGUGGAGCUAAUCUCAUAAAGGUGCUCGUAGUCCGGAUUGGAGUCUGCAACUCGACUCCAUGAAGUCGGAAUCGCUAGUAAUCGCGGAUCACAAUGCCGCGGUGAAUACGUUCCCGGGCCUUGUACACACCGCCCGU
rnacentral:rRNA from 1 species